UAGCAUUAGCUUCAUUUCAGGUUGCAAAAAUACAUCACAACACUCACCGGAGAAAUUCACAGCAGAAACAGAUUUAACUGCAAGAAUCCUUCUCUUCAGUCAACCGUUACCGGAUUUCACAAAAAAAUUAUCGUGUAAGGUACUUUAUUUUUUUUUCAGUGUACUAUGCACCUUAUUUUCGGCGGAAAUACAGAGGCAGCGAGUUGACGUUUUUUUGUGCGAGACUUCCAACCGCUCACUUCCUGUCACUGUUUAGCUAGCUGAAAAGCGACUUAUGCAGCUACUUCGUCUCAAAUUACUCGUCAUUAUGACUUAGAGGAAGACCGGGAUCAAUUGUACGGUUACAGGUUGUCAUAAUAACGGGUGUAAAAGAAAGGUUUAUGUGGAGAAGGAGUGUUUUAAUCAUCGACAGGGAACAAGAGCUUCGGAUGCGGGGUGCCCUACUUCCUUCAACUCCAGCCGAAGAAUGAAGAACCUCCUCGCCUGUGAUUAAAAGCUUAAAAUUUGAAGAAACCACCGAAGCGACUGUAUGUUUUUUGUUUUCAUUUUGUGGACAAAAGACUGACAGAAGACCCACGACGCCAGAAAAGUGGCUGGGCUACGAAGUUCCAUUAAAAACAAAAUCAAGGAGACAAAGAGGAGAGACACAGAUGACAGCCGGUGUGAUGCAGAGGCUAACCGGACCGCUCCAUAGUCAGAGUCACCUAUGAAUAAACAUGCUGAAACUACAGGCACCGAUGGAUCACACCUAGGAGAAAAGAAGAAGAAAAAUGUAUGGGGCAGGGAACACACUGGCUUCUUGGAGUAUCUUCGUCUUGGCGAUAAAGUGACGGCAGACAGAGGCUUUACCAUUGGAGAUCUGCUGUUUGAGAGGCGAUUUAACCUUGUUCUACCAGCAUUCACUUAUAAAGGAGAGCAGUCCUCUGUUAAGGAUGUAACUGCCACAAGGAGGACUGCAAUUGUCCACAUACAUGUGGAAAGAGUUAUCAUGAGGCUCAAAGUUUUCACAAUGUAAUUGGCAUUUAUUCAUAAUUAGAUCAAGUGGAUGUCUAAAGUGUAUCUUAUGGACAUGAACUGGCAAGAAGAUACAGUUUUUCAUUUAUUGAGUUUAUGCAAUUUGUUUACACUAAAUGUAAUUACAUUUAACUUUUAAAAUGGUAAAACAUUGUUAAGUUUUAACAUUUCAUUUUGCUAGCAUAUUUGUAGGCCAUUUAAUUCUUUGUGGUGCAGGAAACAUCAAUCAUUCAGCCUUUUGGGGAUGGCGCAGCUCAUCUGUUCAGGAGAAUCCGUUCAGACCUUGGCCACGGCAAACUGCACCUUUAAACAAAGUCACAGUUACUUUUUAUUUAUAUUAGUCCUUGGUGUCACAUUUAUAUAAAAAUAUGGAUAGUUUGUAGUGACGACUAUAAACAGUCCAUAUUUUUCUACUUACCUUCCUGAUAUAUGUCCAAAUUGCCAUUAAAGAUUAGACGGUUAUGAAUUAGAAUGGAGGACUUACCUUUACAGAAAGGAAGAGGUGGUGUGCUGACCGAAUAUUAGCCAAACUUGAAUGACCCCGCAGCAUCAAUGAACAAGAGAUCAGACUUUUACUUAUCUGUUGAAUCUGUUGAAUAAAAAAUAAAAACGUUUUCAUAUACCAAAUUUUAUUUCCCAAAUGCUUUAAAGUCAAUGUUUUCAUUAGCUCUUUAACAUUGACACCCUAACAAAUAAACUAGAAAUAGAGUUACAGCUUCAUCCUAAAGCCAACUUACAUUUUAACUAGGGCUGUCAAAAUAACGCGUUAAUUUCGAUUAAUUAAUUUUAAAAAAACGGCUUUCGAAAAUAAGGUGCUGCAGCCCAUAGACAUAAUACAAGAGUAGACCCCGCAUUGACUGUCGUGGCGCAGGAAUUACGGCCGCUGUGACGGCCCUGCUGCGCGGUCCGGUGUGCUAUGACUGUCGAUUAAUUCUAUCAAUUAAGGUCCUUUAAGUGGGAGGCGCUUCCAUUAUGCGGCCACCUGGAUUGUACUUAAGGAGCGCCGUUCCAUUCAGGAGGGGAGUCCCCUGGUCGAAGCAAGCGCGCUGCAGACAGCCAUCCAGUCCAGACCAGGUUGGGGUCUGGGCUUCCUGGUGUGGAGGGACCAAGCGUGAUUGCCCCAUUCGAGCUGCCGUCUGAUUCCGACGUCUAGACCAGUUUUUUGAUUCUUUUAAAUAAAUGCCUUUUAUAGGCUGAAAGCACUGCCUGUUUCCGUGUCCCCCAGUUUUUUUGUUGCGACCAGUCGAGCCGGGUCGUAACAAAUGGGGGCUCGUCAAAAAACAAACAA